UUGUCUCUUAAAACUUCAGGAGUUGUGAUCAUGGUUUCCAAAUGCUGUACCACUAAAAUAUCAGUCACCUGGCCUGGCUAAUUAGCCAAUACGAGAUUCAGUAUGGCCCCUCCGCUAGUCAGACUAUCCACAGUGUUUCAAGAAACCUCUCAAAUGCACUUAACCAGUUCUACCCUGUCUAAGCCUCUUGAUCUAAGGGAUUCCCAGUCAAUAUUGGGGAAGUUAAAAGUCACCCAUAUGACAAACCCUGUUGUUGUUGCAUCUUUCCAUAAUCUGCUUACAUAUUUGUUCGUGAAUGUCUCAGAAGCUGUUGGGGGGGCUUCAUAGAAUCCCUACAGUGUGGAAACAGGCCAUUUGGCCCAACAAGUCCAGACUACCCCUCUGAAGAGCAUCCCACCCAGACCCAUUCCCCUACCCUUGAUUUCCCCAUUUCUAACCCACCUAACCAAAACAUCCCUGGACACUAUGGGCAAUUUACCUACCCUACACAUCUUUGGACUGUGGGAGGAAACUCAUGCAGACAUGUGCAAACUCCACACAGACAGUUGCCCGAGGCUGGAAUUGAACCCAGGACCCUGGCACUAUAAGGCAGCAGUGCUAACCAUUGAGCCACUGUUGAUCUUAUGAUCUUACUGAUGUGGAAUACAGGCAGGAAAGUUGAUUUAAAGCCACAGCCAAGAUCUUAUCGAAUGGCAGAACAGGCUCAAGUGGCUGAAUGGUCCAUUCCUACUUCGUUCCUUAUGUACACCUUCACAAGGUGCAAGGGCUCUUUUGAUAAACAUAUUAAGAAAAGCUCAUAUUCAUACAUAUUCAAACAUAUUCAAAAUACAGCUCCACUUUAUGAAUUAAAUGUAAUAGAUGGGUUGGAUGGCAUAUAGCACUGUACAUUUGAUAUCUGAAAUGUGUGCUCAAAGAUUGUAUCAGUUGAUUUGGGUACGUAUGAUUUUUCACAAAAGUCAACAAAAGCCCUGAAGAAGAGUCACCGGACCCGAACCGUUAACUCUGUUUUCUCCUUCACAGAUGCUGCCAGACCUGCUGAGCUUUUCCAGCAACUUUGUUUUUGUUCCUGAUUUACAGCAUCCGCAGUUCUUUUGGUUUUAAAUUAGAGCUAAAGAAAUAACAGCUUUUGUAACACCAUGCAAUGUCAUGCUGUUUGGAAUGAAAAGGUUCAACAAUUAACCAGUAAAGUAAUCAAAGGAGCUGGCAAUUGUACUGCUUACAUUGAUGAUUCACCUGUCACCUUGUUUUUAGCUGAACCUGGGAAGAACAGCUACACCAUUUGACUGAACUACAAAAAGCCAAUUUGGUCAAAAAUUUGGCUAGGACUCUGGAUGGUGCCAAUGGACUGAAAAAUAUGAGCCCUUCUACACACUUGUUCAAAAAGAAGCCCAGCAACUACAGGCCAGUCAGCUUAACCAAGGUGGUGAAGAAAUUGCUAGAAAUUACAAAUGGGAUGAAAAUGAUGAUCGCCUCCACAACUAAAGUUGGUGUCACUAACAAAGCCAACAUGUAUUCCCACCCCUAAUUGCCCUUGAGAAGCUGGUAAUGAUGAUGGUCUAUAUGGUGCAGGGAAAGAAAGGAGGAGAACACACCCACCUAUAUCAAUGGAACUGAGGUUGACGGGGUGGAGAACGUCAAGUUCCUCGGAGUGGUGAUAACCAACCUGUCCUGGACUGCCUACGUCGAUGCAACGGUCAAAAAAGCAGAACAAUGCCUCUUCUUUCUCAGGUGGCUCAGGAAAUUUGGCAUGUCCUUAAGGACCCUCGCCAACUUCUACAGAUGCACAUUGAAAGCAUACUGUCGAGGCGCAUAAUGGCCUGGUACAGCAAAUGCUCUGCCCAGGACCGUAAGAAACUACAGAAGUUGGUGUGCAUAGCCCAGACCAUCACGUAAGCCAACCUUCCAUUCAUGGACUUCAUGUACAUGGCUCAUUGCCACGGAAAGGCUGCCAACAUCAUCAAUGACCCAUCACACGCCGGUAAUGAUCUUGUACAACCUUUUCCGUCAUGCAGAAGUUACAGAAGCCUGAAAAAAUGUACCAGCAGGUUCAGGAACAGCUUCUUCCCGGUUGUUAUUAGACUAAUGAAUGGACUCUCUAGCCCCAAAUAGUGAUGAUCUUGCCAAUGUUGAUUUCGCCUAGCGCACGCUCUGUGCAAAUUUAACUGUAUGCCUCAGUCUAAGUCGUUUUGAUCUGUACAUCUUUGCCUACUAUGAUCUGCCUGUAUGCUCAUAAACAAAGCUUUUCACUGCACUUCAGUACACGUGACAAUAAAAUCAAUGAAAAAAAUCCAAUCUGGAAUUGAAGGCCCACGGAUUAGAAAACAAAGGGCCUUUCAUUUAAGGCCGAGAUAAGGGAGAAUUUCUUCUGUUUGAGAAUAGUUAAUCUUUGGAAUUCUCUACUCCAGACAGUAGUGAAGACUGGCUCAUUGAAUAUAUCCAAAGCUGAGUUGGAUAUAUAUUUAUCUGAUAGGAGUCAAGAACAGAGUAUUAUUUAAAUGAAGAAAAGCUAUAGAAAGCUUCAAUACAAAGAGACUUGUGGGCACUUGUACACGAAACACUGAUCUAGCACACAAGUGCAGCAGGUAAUCAGGAAGGCUAAUGGAAUAUUUGCCCUCAUUUCAAGGGGGUUGGAGUACAGAUAGUUCUGCUGUAACGCGUGUUUCAUUAACGCAAAUUGGCUGUAAUGCGAUUGAUGAAUAGUGGACACUAUUUGGAUAACACAAACUUUCUGCUGUGCAGGUAUAUUGAUUCUCUAUAACGAUUUCCCUGUAGUGUGAUUUUCUAUGGCGAUUUUCUACAGUGCAAGGUCACACAAGAACACAACUAUUGUGUUAUAGAAGAACUACCUGUAUAAGAGCAGGGA